CCAAGGAUCUCAAACCACUUUGCAAAUGUUAAUUAACCAAUUAAACCUUUCAUCACCCUGUGAGAGGGAUGACCUCAAGAACAAGAUUCUGAUGCCCUUGUCAUUGGAAAGGAUGAAGGGGAAGAAAAACCAGGCACAUUUCUAGGGAACCUCCGAACACAUCGGAGCAUCUAGAAACGUGUUGGACCGUAUCUGAAAGCAAUCAUCUUAUUUUCCUGUGUUUGGAAAAUAAAAACACAGUGGAUCUGUUUUAACUAUGCUGAUGAAGAAAGCUCGUAGGCUUCUGCUGAGGCACAGUAAACUUGGAAAGUUCAGCUGAAGGGAGAUAUCUCUAUGUAGGACAAGGAAAUCUGUAUCAAGGGGAAUCCUUUGAGCUGCUAAGACUGGGGAAACAAUCUGGACUUUUGAUUCUAUAUCUACUGACUAAAAGAAGAAUAUAAGGAACUUGAAGAAAGCUAAGAAUUGCUAAACAGAGGAUGAUGCCAUGCUAACGUGACAGCCAUCAUCUUGGAACCAGGGAUCUCCAGAGCUAAAAGGCUGCUGUUUUCUCAGUGUUGUCUUCGGGCAGUUUCCUGUUGCCACAGUCGAUGGCCUGCCAACGCCUGCCUGGGCCUUUCAAGUGUCAACACUCCAAAGUUUGCUGCGAUGGCCAAAUGCUUGUUAAUGAGAUAUAGCAGCUGGGUAGGGGUGAACCACUGAGAUGUAUAAAGGCAUGCCGCUGGUGCAGGAAGCGAUGCCUUUUGAAUCUUUUCAGCACUCUGAAAGCAUUCAAAUCAAAGAGGGCAUGUUGUAUUCAUUAAUAAACCGAAGUUCCCAUGCAACUUUGUUAAAGCCAGUAGUUUAACUUUGUAAUAGACAGGUGAAUUUUUCACCAGUGUUUUAGACUGGAAGACAAAGAGCAAGAAAACAAGAGUUCAUGUACUGCCGAAAGCAUUACUUCCGAAUCAAGCAGCCAUACAGAAUUGUUAAACUGGGCUAGGUACUUGCCCUUUCUCAUGAAUAAAUGCCUGCAAGAUUCCUUUUUCUUGUAUUUUUUAUGCUUCAAAACUCACAGCCACCUGCCUGAGCUCUCCUUUCCCCUCCUGUUUCUUAAUUAAAAAUCAAAAACAUGAUUAAAAUCUAGAAUGAAAAAAACCUUGGGAAAAAAAAAGUCUGAAGACUCUACAGACAGGAUUAAUGACCAAAGCUGCUUGCAUUCAGACUGAGUAAAGCCCAUGUGAUCCUCAGUCUGCAUCUGUUUUGCUAUGACAGUAGCAGUAUAGGAGUGCCUAACAGCUGGGCCAAAAACAAGCAGAAAGCAAAUAUAAAAGAAACUAACAUCCAGUGCAAAGUUUCAAGGGCAAUGCAAGCCAAAGAGGAUCUGAAAGACAUUUCCAGCUUUUUUUUUUUUUUUUUAAAGAGUGGGGCAGCUGGUGAAAGAUUGAAUGCUAGGAAAACAGGUUUAAAACAGAAGCAGUCACCAUAAUAACAGUGACAAAAUUGCUUUGGAGACUUUAUAACAAAAGAACUGUUAGAAACAGGAAGAAGCCAUAUGCCAACCAUGAUUUGGUUUAUCUUAAUGACUUCCUGCUUCUCCACCAAAGAAUACAAGUGUCUCAUAACCGUUUAUACUCGCUUUCAUUUGCCUUUUCUAAUAACUCGUUCCAAGGUAAUUUAAGCCAAGGAACACUUUUAAGUGAUAUUUAGUUCUUUUCAAACAGACUGCUGGCCUAGCAUACAGGGGUCUCUCUGUAUUCACUAACCUGCUGCAGAUACUGUAUUUGUUUUCAGAAUUUAGGCAUACCUGUCAUUGGUUCCACGUGGCCCUCAUAGGGGUAAACUAAUGUAACAGUCACAAAGGCUAUGAUUAAAAGCCCACUCUGUCAUUCUGUUGAUUUCACUGGGUUUUGGAUUAGAGCUGGUUGAACAUUUUCUGACAGAACUGUUUUCCCAAGUGAAAUGCUUGUAUCAUACAAUUAAAUCAUUUCACAGGACUAUAUCAAGUUCAACAAAACACUUGACGAAAAAAUUA